rnacentral:misc_RNA from 1 species
GGGGUGUGCGUUUUUGCACGCAAGGAUGAAGAAAAAAGGGGGAAUAGUGUGGUAGAAAUGGAAGAAAUUGAGGAUUUUGAUGAUGACUAUGACGACGACGACGAUGAUUUUCUAGGGGAUGAGGAAGAGGUUGACGGAGACGACGACGACGAUGAUGAGGUGAUUAUUCCAUUAAGAAAUAUGAAGAAAUGGUUAGAAAACAAGCCGCGUGGGUUUGGAGUAGAU